UUUUUUUUUUUUUUUUUUUUUUUUUUGGGGGUGGUGGGGGGAAUACGAUAAAUUCUACGGAUAAUUAUAGAAACCUCUCCUAAAAUUUCUAAUAAUGAGUUUUUGACUAUUCUAAUAAGAAGGUUUCAAAGAUUACUCCUACUUUUCUUGUCCAUUUAAAAUGAUAAUAUUAACCUUAGUAAUUUUAAUAAAACUCUCUUGUUAUCAUGUUUUGCAAAGGAUGGAUUUUAUAAUUUUUUUUUAUGUUUUUCCUUCUUAUUCAUUUAUCUUAUAAUUCAUUAGAAAUAUAGAAUAGCUAUCAAUGUUGUCCCUAAUAUCUAUCCAAAUUAAACUUUAAACUAGUAAUAUUUUUUUGAUAACUUUUAAUAUCAUCCAAUUUUUUUGUAGCUCUUUUUUUUGUAUCAAAAUCAAGAAUUAGUCAACAAUGAUUAAAAACAAAUAGCCCAAAAUUACUACUAAGUUAUGAUAGUUCCAUCAACAAACUGGUCCAUAAACUUUUAUUCAAAAAAAAGUCCAUAAACUUUAAAAGAAACAAAUUAGCACUUUUUUCUCUAUCGUAAAAAGAAUUUAUAUUGCCAAUAAAGCAUUAUAAAAUGUACCCUAUUAUAGCAAAAAAUUUAUUGUUAUAGUUGAUUAUCAAAUAACAAACAUUGGCAUGAAUAAAUUAACAUUCUUUUUGUUUAGAAUAGCAAAUUGAACUUUGUAAGAUAAGGGCAUUUUAGGAUAUUCAUUAAAUUUUCUACUCUAUUUUAAAGUUUGGUUACCAAAGUGUCAAAUCAAGGGAGGUAAGUAUAAUUUUUAAAAUGUCAAGGGAACUAAGUGAAAUAGUAAGAAACCUCAAUGGAGGCUUUUGAUAUUAUCCAUAAAUUCUAUUUUACAUUUACAUUUACUCUACAUUAAGGAAAAAGGAUGGAUUCAAGAGUGCCAAUAGGGAAUUCGGAGAGGAUUGAACCGCCACCGGACCAGAUGUGUGUUUUUGUACUCGCUGAUGAAAUUUUCAAGAAAUCUUGGACAAUAAUACAGGUCAAGGGAUUCGAUUUACACCUAAAAAGAGUUAAAAACUCUCCUUGGUGACCAAUUACUCUAGGUGUAGUUUGUUUGCUAUAGCUUAAUUGCUUUAGACUUUUUUUUUCCUUUUUUCUUUUUCCUGGCUCUAAAAUGUUCACCCCAUUUGAAAAUUUGAACAGGGCAUGAGCACAAUUUGGGAUUGAAAGUUAAUUGAAAAAAUUUAAUGGUAUUAUUCACUGUGAUAUUUUUUACGUGAUAUAUGUGAAAUAAAAAAAAAUAAUCGAGAAAAGUAUUCUGUGAAUAAUAUAUCAUGCGUUCCUAAAAUGCCCAAAAGUUUUGAAAUAGAUUUAAACGUAUAAUGGGACUUUCUAAUUUUGGUUUUUCUGAAACAAAAAUAAACCAUCGCGUUACUUGUGGGGUUCUUACCAAAACCAUGAAUACUUAUGCCACGAGGUAAUCAUAGAUUGCAAUGUGAUGCGUUGAGAUAAAAAGAAAAAUGAUUAAAAAUGCGUUGAGAGAAUGUUGCUGAAAAAUUCUUUCCAAGGACUAGAAAUCCCUGAAACCAUUACAUUCAUGGAUCAAAUUCGGUUCUUUCAAAAGUCAUAUAUUCUACAACUAAUGGCUGCCAGGUUUUGCAUCCAAUUUUAUUGGAUGUCCUUGAACUCAAAGGGACGGCUACCACGCCAUGGUUAGCGAUGACGCAAAUAUGCUAUCAAUCUCAUGUUAUGUGUCCUUCAAAAAAAAUCUCAUGUUAUGGGCUAAUUGAUUAGAAUAUAGGUGUAAAAAAGAAAAGUCAGACACUUGUGGAUUUGACAGAGUCCAUGUAUAAAACAAUGGGUACCAGGCUGAAACAGCCCGGCACCUGACAGAAACUUUUUUUUUUAAAAAACAUGUCACAUUUUUUUAAAAAAAAAGAUGUCAAGUGCCGGGCUGUGUCAGCCCGGCACCUGACAUCCAAUUGUGAAUGUGAAUUUCACAUUCACUCAAUUGAGUGAAUUGCAAUUCACAUCGAAUUGAGUGAAUUGCAGUUCACUUUAUUUGUUAAGCUAGUUGAUAAAUGCAAUUCACUUUAAUUAGUUUAGUGAAUUAAUUAGUUUAAUUAAUUGAGUGAAUUAAUUUUAAGAGAUUCGAUCAAAUGCAUUUAAUUAAGGUGAUGAAUUAGGUUUAAUUUUUUAUUUAUUAAAUAUUCAUUUAUUUGUUAUAAAUGAUUUAAUUAUAAUGCAUUAUUUGUUGUUAUUUAAUUACACUUUAUUUGUUGUUAUUUGUUAUACUAUUCGUUGUUAUUUAAUUACCCUUUAUUUGUCGUUAUUUGUUAUAUUAUUUCUUAUUAUUUCUUAUAAUUAUAGAAUCACACCUGACAGGAAAUUUUUUUAAAAAAUCUAUCAGGUGUUGGACUGUGUCAGCCUGGUACCUGACCGAAUUUUUCUGAAAAAUAAAAAAAAUUAAUAAGUCUACCAAACAAAAUGUGCCGAAUAACAAAAAUUUCUUAGUGAAACUUUCCCAGUAGAAUUCAAAUCACUUGACUUGAAAUACAAUUAUCUAGUAUUCAUAUUCUUUUAAUUUUGAAUUUUCCUCUUUCAUUUAUAGCUUCUCAUUUUAUUCGCAAGAAAAUAUCGUAAGGCUGAAAUUGUGAUAUGAUUAGUAAUUAUCAAUCGCAAUUUGUGACACGUUGCAUCAUGCAAAAGAUCAAAACCCUAAACACUAAACACUAAACCCUAAACCCUAAACCCUAAACUUUAAACCCUAAACACUAAACCCUAAACCCUAAACCUAAAAACCCUAAUCCCUAAAGCCUAAAGCCUAAACCCUAAAGAUCAAAACCCUAAACCCUAAACCCUGAACCUUGAACCCAAAACCCUAAACCCUAAACAUUUUAGAUUUUGUAUUCAUUCUCGUGUUGGUACUUAUAUUGAAUUUUUGCAUUUUACCAAUUGAACAUAAUGCAUACUAAUAGAACAUCUAUUUAAGUUUUGAAUUUUUUUCGUAGUUUGUAUUGUGAGGAUAAUUUCAUAAAUCUCCCAUACAAAAAAAAAUCAAAAAACCAAAACAAGAAAAAAAGUUUAAUAAAAAGCUGAGUCGACCUGAAGUACUAAAUACUUUGAAAUUUAAGUUAAUUAAUUUACAUUUCAAAGUUGAAACGUAAGAAAAAGAAGAAAAUAGAUUUGUGCAAAAUCACUAAUUACUCCUAUAGAAUGUUAAACUAUGAAAAUUUUUUCAAACAAAAUAUACCAUUCAUUUUGUAAUAAGAUGUAGUUCUCAAAUUGUUGAGAAAUUAUUUGUUAGAAUUUUUAUGUAAUUUUUAAUGUUCACUAUAAUUUUGUAAAACUAAAUUUAUUGUGCAAUAUAUAAAAAAAAGGACCAAAAAAAGAGGAAAAAAUGCAUAGCGUGACAACGGUGAAAUGGCUAGAUAUAAAAAUAAUGAUAAGCAUUCAAAUAAUAAAAGGCUAAAUUCCCAUAUUAUAAUAUUUGAUAUUUAGCAAACAUGUAAUGAAGAUUGUAUAUUUUGUCUACCCAGAAGAUUCCGAUCUAAACCCAAAAGAUUGUAUAUUUUGUCUACCAAAUCAUCAUAACCUACCAUCUCUGUAAGGAACAACACUUGUUUCGGUAUAGAAGGAUCAUAUGAAAUUGACCCUCCUUCGUUUAUAAUUUUUUCACCCCAAUAUACUUGAAUGACCAAGCAAUUAUCACUUGACAUGUUAUACCUAUUAGAGAUGAGUGUUGAUAGCAUUUUAGAACCUCAUUAAUAUGCUUAUUUGAAUAAUUAAUUAAUUGAAUCAAAUAUAUAUAAUUUAUAACAAAUAAAUAAAUAAUUGCGAUUCUAUAAUUAUAAGAAAUAAUAACAAAUAACAACAACUAAAGUGUAAUUAAAUAACAACGAAUAAUAACAAAUAGUAUAACAAAUAACAACAAAUAAAGUGUAAUUAAAUAACAACAAAUAAUAACAAAUAACAACAAAUAAUGCAUUAUAAUUAAAUAAUUAAAUCAUUUAUAACAAAUAAAUGAAUAUUUAAUAAAUAAUAAAUUAAACCAUCACCUUAAUUAAAUGCAUUUAAUCGAAUCUCUUAAAAUUACUUCACUCAAUUAAUUAAACUAAUUAAUCCACUAAACUAAUUAAAGUGAAUUGCAUUUAUCAACUAGCUUAACAAAUAAAGUGAAUUGCAAUUCACUCAAUUGACUCAAUUGGAUGAAUUGCAAUUCACUCAAUUGGAUGUCAGGUGCCGGGCUGACACAGCCCGGCACUUGACAUCUUUUGUCAAAAAAAAUGUGUCAGGUGCCGGGCUCUGACAUGUUAAAAAAAAAAAAAGUUUCUGUCAGGUGCCGGGCUGUCUCAGCCCGGUACCCAUAAUUUUAUACAUGGACUCUGUCAGAUCCACAAGUGUGUGACUUUUCUUUUUUACACCUAUAUUCUAAUCAAUUAGCCCAUGUUAUGUGAGAAGGUCGAAAUUUGAUGGGAAAGAUAUGAAAAGCUUUGUUGACUUACUGUUGGUCCGAAACCUGCAUUUUCAGUCUUUAGCCCCACUUAAAAAGGAACCUGUCGUUUUUUCCAUUAGAUUUAAAACUUAAGUAGGAAUAGUCAAGAGACUGCUGGGCACCAUCAAGAUUCAAGACUUUGUGACAGUGAGAGGUAAAGGAUUAAAUCUUAUCUUCCAUCGUAUAAUUGUCAUUUAAUUGUGACUGUCACUUCAAAUGAUUCCAAUCGAUAGAAUUUUUCAACUGGCUCCUUCUCUCCUUAAGCUAGGUUAGGGUACAAAAAAAAAAAAAAAGUAAGAAUAGUCAAACUUUGUUUAAAUGGAAUAAUGAUAAAUUUACCAAUUUUUCCUGAGGUUGAAAUUGUUAUAGGGAAACGUUGGGUGUCAAAAUGAAAAUCCUACAUGUUUUCUUCUUCCUCAACAAUCCAACAAACACUUCAUAGCCACUAGAUAUUCUUAGGAAAUUUCUCUUUGAAUUGGCUUAAACCCGACCGUAAAUAUUUUUAUCCAGGCAAACUUCAACUCUCCCCAUGGAUGAGUACAGAAAUUUGAAUCCCACAGAAUAGAGUAUUCUUCAGCCAAUAGCAAGAAGAAUAUGCAGCCACAGUUCUCCAUAAUUAAACCUAAGAUCACGGCUAAACCAUGAUGGAAGCUGCGACCUCUUCUCCUACUCUCUUUGUUGCAUGACCUUGUUUGGAGAGUCAUUUUUUUCAAAAAAUUUAUACGUUUAAGUGAAUACAAUUUUAAAAUCACCGUUUUAUUUCAAAUAUAUCAAAUUGUUAUAGUAUUUUUUUUAUAAAAAAUUCAGAAAAUAGCAAUCUGUUAGGAUUUUUGUGGGCUAGUCAUUUAUGAGUUUGGUUUUUGUUAUUGAUUUUAUUUGAUGAAGACGAAUAAUACUGAUUAUGAAGAAGUGGAAUUUGGCAGCUUCUUGUUUUUCUUCCCCACUUGCCAAGACUAUAAAUCUGGGGAGUCGCUGGCCAGGAAAGGGAGUGGGAAUGGGAAUGGGAAUGGAGAGGGUAGUCAACAGUAGACACAUAAUCUUAAUAGCAAUUACAACUUUUAUUAUCGCUUUUUACAUUUUUCAUGAAUACAUGUUCUAAUCACCUUUUUACUCGUAUACAUUAAUACAUCAAAUUGUUAUAAUAUAUUUUUCUAUAAAAAAUUUUAAAAAAUAGCAAUCCAAACGGACUAGCAUUUUAUUUUAAUUAAAAGCAUAAAAGAUUUAAAUGUAAGUUUUCAAACCAUAGAUAGCUAACAUGUACACUUGAUUAACCACAUGAGGGUUCUUUGUAUUUUAUCCAAAAUUUAUACUGUCUACUCUCUAGAGUUCCUGGGUGCCGGAACAGCCGUGGGUUGGUUUUGCUCCAUUUUUUUUUAUUCAUUCCGAUGCUUUUACUCCAUUGUAGCACAUAAAUAAAUGCAUCUUACUCAAAGUCUUUUUUUUUUCAUUUCACUGUCAAAAGUGAAUACUUUUAAGAAAAAAAAUUUCCAUCUAUAGCUUUAUUUUCCUAAAAUAGAAAAACAAUGAGGACGCCAAUUGGACCUUUUGGAAUCUUUAGAAUUUUUAUUAAAUCCAAGAAGAUAAGAUCAUUUUUAAGGCGGCUAACCAUAAGCUUUUGGACUGGUCUGAACUACCUAAAAGCAUGUGACCAAUUAAGGAACUCCAAGACGAGGAGAGAACUUUUGCUACCCCUUAAGUGUCAUGAUACACUUUGUAUAGCUGAUUGAGCCGUUGUUCAAAUAUUGUAAAGCCUAGUUUAUUAAUAAAAUUAUUUAUCGUUUCUUAAAAAAAAAAAAAAAAGACCAAUUAGGGAACUCAAUUCAUUACAGCUAAAGAAGCCCAGAAGUGGGCAACAUAUCUAUGUGACAUAGGGAAAAAAGUAGCUUGGCCUAGUAAUUUGAUAUUCAUAACGCGGUACUGCUUCUGUCAUUGCUCACCUAAGGUAACAAAUGCAAGUUUGAAGAAUUUAAUAUAAAACUUUUUUAUAUUUUUCGUAAACAUAUUUUUUAAUCACUUAUUUAUCUCAUGUAUAUUAUAUUAUUAUAAUAUAAUUUUCUACAAAAAUUUCAAAAAAUUAGCGAUCCAAACAAGACCUGAGAUUGGAGCUGUCCCGCACAAAAAAAAGAGGAAAAAGAAAAAAAGAAUUGGAAUUGAGUUCCCAAAUUGGUCAUGACGCAUAUAAAAAAUAAUGAAGAGAGUUAAAAAAAAAAAAAAACUCAUAAGCGAGUCCAAUAAUCUAAUGGACCAAAUUUCACGCACGUGAGGCCAAUUUAUAAGGAGGCGUUUGGUACACUAGGUAUGAAGGGAGAACGGAUAGUAUAAUUGGUCUAUGAUACCGAUUCCUAACUUGAACCGAACUUCUCCCAAGUGUUGCUUAAUUUUUUCACAUUGAACUAGAUGGAAGAGCUCAUCCAAUUGUGUGGUCUGAUCUGGGGUUUAGAAACACAGCUAUAAAUAAGGUCAUCAUACCUUAAAGAUAGAAUCAUGAUGGUCACCAAAAAACGGUCCCGGUGAGAGAAAAUAAAUAGUAUGUAGUAUGUAGAUUUUUGAAAAGUAUUCAUUCACCAACUCGUCUUGUAAAUUACUCCACGGUAUUAUCAUCCUCACUUAACAGUAAUAUACAUGAAAGGAAUGUCAACGUGCAUAUGUAUUAGUACAAUGUCGAAUUAAUUAGAAGUUGGCUUAAGUAGAAGAGAAAUAAACCAACACAAAUUGACUCAAUUGAUAAUAAUAGAAUAUUUUUUUACAAAACAUCGAGUGUUUAAAUUUCGCAAUCGACCGAUGUGAGAUUUAUGUUGAUAAGUGAUCUGUAAGUACUCCUGUAAACGAUUUAUUUGAUUCGAAAGAUAUAUUCUGAUCCUCCCUCUCUGAUAAUAAUUGGAGUAGAAUCCAAUUAAACAUUUUUCUACCGAAAACAAGAAGAAGAGAAAUUACUAGUACUACUUUUUAAGUGCAUUGAAAAAAGAGUUGGUAGUGGCGACACCUGUCAGCAAGUGGGUGGGGGUUAUUUCUUUUAUGUUAAGUGGCUUAGGUUUAUUGUGAACCUUUUAGGUUAUCUGGUUCAGACUUUCUAGGAGGAAGAAAUGAUACCGAGGAAGGCUGUGGCUGAUGGCUCUGUGAGGAAAUUAUGGAGAUGUGAUUGCCGAUUGGGCCGAUGGGGAGGGACCACUGACUCUCUCUCCUUCUGGUUCUGGAAGUAAAUCAGGCGCGCCUUCCCCAGCUCAGCUCAACCGGGAUGUGGGGCGCCCAUGGGAAGUAGACAACAAGCAAUUUUCCAAAAUUGGGAGGGGGCGCUGAUUGGAUGUCAACAAUAUGUACUCUACGGAGCAAGCAAGAUGUCAAAUGUACGUCGUGAGAGGAGAGUAUUUGAUCCUGCUUUGCAUUUCAACAGUGCCAGCACAUAUAGGUCCUGACGUCCUGUACUCAUGUUCUUGAUGUGUGGUGUGAAGUCAGCUUUUUGUCAUUUGGUAGUAUUUCUCUCCGAGUGCGAUCCUUUUAUAAAUCCAUGGAAGUGUAAUUUUAUAGGUAUUGCAUUUUCCGUUUGCAUUUUGUAGGGAUCCUUUUAUAUACCCCUGUUUGGAUUGCAUUUUCUGUCAUUUUUCAUGAAAAAAUUACUGUAGCGAUUUGAUGUAUGUGAGGAAAAAAGAUAAUAGAAAAAUGUGUUCAAGAAAAACGACAUAAUUUUUCGACAAAAAACGGCAAUCCAAACAAGGCCGAAUCUUUAAAAAACACAGAGUCAAUCCAAAUAAAUCCAAUUGAAUGAUGUUUGUCCAAAAUAUCCCCUUUUACCUCUUCUCGACGACCAGACAUCCAUCAUUGACAACCUCUAUCAUCUGCCACCGCUAUCCACAAUUGCUCUCCAUACUUUAUUUGAAUUUCAAUUUUAUAAGAAAAUUUUUUUACAUUUUUUAUGAACAUAUUUUUUAAUCAUCUAUUUAUUUCGCAUACAUCAAUUAUUUCAUUUCAACAUUUCCAACAUAUAUAGAUCCUGGCGUCAUGUACUCAUGUUCUUGAUGUGUGGUGUGAAGUCAGCUUUAAAAAAAAAAUGUUAAUGUAAAAAAAAAAAUUACUAUAAUGUCAGUGCAUAAAAAGUUAAUCCUUUUUUAAAAAUAUAUGUAAUAUACAUGAGGUGAAAAUGUACCUAGGAAAUAAUCUCCAACAAGAUUUUCUAUAAAUGCAAACAGUCAUAACAGAGUUUUUAUAGACAUUUUGUGCACCAAGAAAGGCCUAAGAAUGUUGCCAUAAAAAUGGAAAAAAAAAAUAUUAUGUAGCGUCUAUCUUCUAACAAUUUUCACAGCCAAUUCCGUCUCUAAAUUCAGCCACGAACGAAACUCAGCAAUUGGCCUUUACGUUCAAACUUCAGGUCCCAAUAAAUUUUCUCAAGCGUGACAAAUUCGUACAGCGGUAACUUUUAUUUGGAUUGUCGGUGCCAAUCACUUCACGAAACGGAAUUGACGUUGCAACCACUUUGCUUGACAUCAUAAACAUUAUACAAAAAGAUAUACAGAGAACACGUCCACAUAAUUUAGUGCGUGGUCAUUUACGAACGAGUCUGCAUCACAAUAUUCUAUCCAAUUGCAAUGAGCCCUCUGGUAUGGUGCCCUGUGACAUCCCCUAUUCCAUAAUGUUGGGCUCGUGGUUCUCAUUGAGCCAAGAGUUUACCCUUAAAACCAUAGAAAAGUGUUAUAUCCUCGUGUAGGGUGUUGUAUAAUUGCACGAGCAAUGUUUUCCUAUCAAAGAAAGAAAAGAAUGUUGGAUUGAACAUGUUGGCGAUCUUUUAUUGGUAACUCUAAUUUAGGAUAUGUAACUGUUUCAGUGUACAGUACGUUAUCAUGUUUUUAAGGUUCUAAAAGGGUUAGGCUAGGCACAAAUAUGUAGAAGUAAUUAUACAUUUACGGAUUUGGCCACUAGACAAUUAAGGUUUUUGAAAAAUGAGUUCAAAUGAUGGCCAUUUGUUCUUCUUUUUUUUUUUUUUAAAUGUACCAAACAUUUAAAGAUUCUUCUUUUAUUUUAAUAUUUUAUUCUUAUUUUGAAUAAACCUAUUAUGUGAAGUUCGAAAGCUCGUUGAACUCAAUUGAACUUUGCAUAUAUAUGUUUUUAAAUUUUUGUUUAUUAGUAUAAAAUAUCUAUUUUCUCCCUUGUUUAAAAUCAUAUAAAAUAUAAAUUUUUAUUACUUAAACUCCAGUGGACUCUAUUAAACUUUACUGAACUCAAAUUAACCUCGUUUGGGCUCAAUUCGAUCGAGUUCUAGUAAAGACAAAAUAACAUCGAACUCAAACUCGAGUUUGACUUUCAAAUGCUUGUAGAGUUUAAACUCAAAAUCAAACCCAAGUUCUUUAACUCGAGUCCAGUUAGAGUGUCGACUCGACUCGAUUGCACGCAUACCUUUGACUUGUAUUGGAGCAAAGAACUUGGCUUGAAUUCUGACAUUCAAGAUGAUGAAUAAAUAAAAGAUCCUGAUCGCAUAUGCUGUCAAGACUCAUCAAAGGACAAAUUAACAUCCUCCUAUAGUUUUACUCUGUUGCUCAUUGAGGCAAUUCUUAGAGAAAGUGUCGAGCAUCUUGAUAGGACAAAGACGCUUAUAGUUGCGGAAUGAAUUAAGCAGCCUGAAUAUAAUGAGGGCACGAGUAUUAUGGCAGCCUGAAACCAAUGCAUGUGUAGCUAGUCAAUUGCUUUGCAUCCGGUACAGAUAUUUUUCUUGGAACUGAAAUGGUCCUCCAAUUGCCAGAGAAGGUUUGCUGGUUAUAUGAUGUACAAACCCUUUGGUGGAAAACUCCAAUUUUUUUGCGGCUAAUUUUGCUUUCGGAACCUACAAUGAAUUAAAGCUGAAAUAACCCAUAAUACAGAGGGGGGCUCCAAAUUUAAGCUGAGUUGCAAAGAUGGAUUCCCUGCGUUCAAUUUGUUUAUUAUUUCAAUUCCAAGUAAACCGAUACCAAGAUUAAGUGAUCCAAGAAUUCAGUUCGUGUUGCUGAGGAUAUCUUCUAAAUCUUUUUUAUUAAUAUUUUUGUUAUUAUUAUCUCAUUGUCGGUGGCAGGGCAAUCUUGGUGAUAAAGCGCAUAAUUAAUUAGCCAAAUACAUGCCCCCUAAGCGAGGAGUUUGGCUGGUAACCACAUGCGGUAAUAUCCCGUAGGUAGAGCUGUUAAGUCAAUCGAGUAGCUCGAAAGCUCGUUAGAGCUCGGCUCGUUAAGGCUCGAGCUCGGCUCGUUAAUUUUGGUUAACGAGUCGAGCUCGAACUCGAAACAUACUCGUUUAGUUAACGAGCCGAAUAAGCUCGGCUCGUUUGAUACUCGAGUAGCUCGUUAGAUCUCGUUAAUGAAGGGCAUAUUUGUCAUUUUAGAAAUUAAAAUUAUAAAAAUUAAAAAUUAUAGGUUUUUAUUAAGGUUAAUUUGCACGAGCUCGAGCUCGAGCUCGUGAAGCUCGACUCGUUUGUGAUAAAUGAGUCGAGCUCGAGCUCGAGCUCGAGCCACAUGUACAUUUAACGAGCCGAGUUCGAGCACAUUUUAAAGCUCGUUUUCCUAACGAGCUCGAGUCGAGCUCGGCAGCCAAAUACUCGGCUCGAUUAACAGCUCUACCCGUAGGUCAUCAGUUUAGGUUCCGUUGUGGGAUCGUGCUUUCAUCCUUGAGCAGGGCUCUGCAAGUCAGGAAGUGAAUUAAUCUGACUAAACUGAGUUAGCUGGUGCAGCUACGGUUAAUGCACUUUGGCAACUCUUGACUUUUCAGAGGGCUAAACAAAUAUCUAUCUGUUAAUGUUCCUUGAUUAUGACAAGCACUCCAUUCUUUUUGCUACUAAUAUAAUUGGGACUGGGGGACCAAAAAUAGAUUAAAAUGGUGCAUGUCGUGUUCGGGGCGAGCAUGACUUCCGCAAUAAAAUAUUUUGAAAAUUGACUCCAAUAAUUUCAUAAGAUUUUCUUUGUUCUCCCUUUUUUUUUUUUCCUUUCCUUUUGUUUUUAUUCUGCCUACCAGAAAGUAAGGAGCAAAAUUGGACGUAUCUUUUAAGAAGAAAAAUUAGAAAUCAUCAAAAAAUUAUAAAUGAGAAAUUUAAAAUAAGUAUAAGUUCCAAAGGAUUAAUUAUUAUGAAUCCUAGUAUAGUUGGAGGAAUUGUGAAGGGGAAAAAAAUUAGAAUUGCCGUUUAGGAAGAGUGGAUGUUUGAGAUGAAUUGAAUGAAAUUGGGAAGGAUCAAAGAUUGAUGCGUGGUUGAUGGAGAAAUAUAUUGGCUUUAGGAGUUAGCUUCAGAAUUAUACAUAAUAAUCCACCCCCCCCCCCUCCUUAUGUUCGUCAUUGUUUACGAUUGGGUGUACAUAAAUUAAAGUUGGUCUUUUAUUCUGAAGCAGGAAACUUCCCGUUUCGUGUCAAACUAGUUGUCGUAUGCAAGACAAGAUUUUCUGUAAAUUAUGCUGAUAAUAACGACUAAACACUACUAUUUCUUAAUAUAUAUUUUACCAAGAAAGUUCUCCAUAUUCUUUUCACCAUUCUUUGAAAAGAAAGACAUUUUUAAUUAGCAGAAAUAGUGCAGCCCCCCAAAAGACUAUUAAUAAUUACUUAUAGGCAAAGCUUCCAAAGGGCAAAGGCAUGACUUUUCCAAUUUGGGAUUGAUUGUUUCUUUUUCUUAGCAUUUUAAUGUUUGACUCACUUUUUCUUUCUCCUUUUUUGGGUUGUGGCUUCUAAUGAUGUGUUUUUGCUUUUGCUAAUUUUGGUGAUGUACUAUUAUUAAAGCAACGAGUUUCCAUUCACUGCAAAAGAAGAAUCAGCAGCUCAAAAUAGCAUUGCCAAAUCCCUUUUGCUUCUUGAUUGUACUAAAUAGCGAUAAUGACUGCUCAAUAUAUGCCUCACCACUUCAGCAUCGUUUUAUGAUUAGUCCACGUAAAAAGCCUUCUGGAAGAGGCAUUUACAACAAUAUCUUGUGCCUGUGGACAGGAUUUUUAACCUUGCAUUUAUAAAAGUUUCUUUUUCAUUUCAUUGUCAAUCCUUAAAAAUGAUGCUUAGAUAGAAGAGUUUCACCACCUGCAAUAAUGAGUGCAAGCUACACAAAACAACUAUAUAACGGUGUAUGUAUAAAAUAAAAAGAUGAUCGAAAAUUGUGUUUAGGAAAAACUUAACAACUUUUCCAGGAAAAACUUAAGGCAAUCAAUAGUUCUAAAAUUUCAUGGCCCAAAACUGCAGGCAGGCUUGGACCGUGGGCCAAAAUUUGGUGGGAGGCGACACUCGUAAAGUGUACCCUUUAUAGAGCAGAGAUCCUUGCAUGCAUCAAUUGCAUAAACACCUGCCAAGCUAGUAAAGGUACCAGUGACCUGAUUUCAUUCAAGGUCUAAAAGUACUUUUCCGUCUUGGAGUGCAUCAUACCCAAUGUUAUGUUUGGAUUGCAAGUUUUAGCACGAAAAAUUCCAAACUAUUCCUUUGAUACGUUUAUCAAUCAUCUUUUUGCCUCAAAUAUAUUACAUCGCGACGGCAUGUAUUACCCACCCAAGUAGAACGAACAAGCACCAACUCUUAAAGAGAGAGAGAGAGAGAGAGGGGGGUCAACAAACAAUCACAUUUCCAGGAACAAACUAUACUCAUGUCCAUUCAUCUCCUAUCGAGGGCCAAAAAAUUUAUGCACUCAAUAUGAAAAUGCACAGCAAAUUCAGGCGCUGUCAUCUGAUUUCAACAUCGUGGGCAAAAUUUUGAAUACUGCACGAAAACAUUUGCAGAGCAAAGUGCAAUUACAAUAUUCUAAACUGUCUUCAAUCCCACUUCCCUCUCUCUUCAAACCAAGUAGGAUGUUCAGAAGCAAAACUGCAUUG
rnacentral:lncRNA from 1 species